CCUACGGGAGGCAGCAGUGAGGAAUAUUGGUCAAUGGCCGGGAGGCUGAACCAGCCAAGUCGCGUGAGGGAUGACGGCCCUACGGGUUGUAAACCUCUUUUGUCAGGGAGCAAGGUGCAGGUCGGGUCCCGCUGUGAGAGUACUUGAAGAAAAAGCAUCGGCUAACUCCGUGCCAGCAGCCGCGGUAAUACGGAGGAUGCGAGCGUUAUCCGGUUUUAUUGGGUUUAAGGGGUGCGUAGGCGGGUGCAGAAGUGAGCGGGAAAAUCGCUGGGCUCAACCCCGCUCCGCCGUGGAAACUGUGUCCCUUGAGUGCGCGAAGGGUAGGCGGAAUGCGUGGUGUAGCGGUGAAAUGCAUAGAUAUCACGCAGAACUCCGAUCGCGAAGGCAGCCUACCGGCGCGCAACUGACGCUCAUGCACGAAAGCGUGGGUAUCGAACAGGAUUAGAUACCCUAGUAGUC
rnacentral:rRNA from 1 species